CGAAUGAGUUUAUACUCAUGGCAGACGAGGUAGGAACACGUAGGUACAUACCCCAAAGUCAGGGAUAAUCCGUCGAAAGGCGGGAUAAUACUUGAUAGUCACUUCGGUGUAAAGAUUUAUCGCUUUGGGAAUGGCCUGCGUUCUAUCAGCUUGUUGGUAAGGUAACGGCUUACCAAGGCUACGACGGAUAGGGGAGGUGAGAGCCUGACCCCCACCGAUGGAACUGCGACACGGUCCAG
rnacentral:rRNA from 1 species